rnacentral:lncRNA from 10 species
GUCCGCGCCUCGCUGGGCUCAGCACCCCGGCCCCCGGCGGGACGGAGGCUCGGGUCCAAAGCAGUGGCUGCACCGACACGAACCCGUCUGCGUUUCUCCACCUGUCUUCCCUCGCCACCUGCAUCUACUAUGGUCUCUAAAUGCCUCGCUUUGUACUUUGUGGCUUUCUGGCAGCCCUUUAAAGCAGCGGUGAAAGAAAGGAGAGAGUCAAGACACGGGAGAAAAUGUUUCAUCCCGGGUUCUUCUAGUGGUGCCCGCCUUGACACGACUCGGGGGACUGCCUAAGCAAAAGGUGGAAAAGAUGGAGCUGGAAGACAAAGACGGCUCCGGAUUCCAAAACUUCAAUGGCGUCGCCAAAUUGACGAGCUCAUUAACCUUUGGAGUAUUGUUAUUUAAAAAGUAGGAAAUAAAAGAUAAAUGUGGAAAUAUUUAAUAAAAGAAAAACGUAAGCUCUCAAUUUUCUUUAUUACUUUUUUUUUUUUGAGACGGAGUCUCUCGCUCUGUCGCCCAGUGGCACGAUCUUGGCUCACUGCAAGCUCCGCCUCCCGGGUUUACGCCAUUCUUCUGCCUCAGCCUCCCGAGUAGCCGGGACUACAGGCGCCCGUCACCACGCCCGGCUAAUUUUUUCUAUUUUUUUGGUAGAGACAGGGUUUCACCGUGUUAGCCAGGAUGGUCGCGAUCUCCUGACCUCGUGAUCCUCCCGCCUCGG